rnacentral:siRNA from 1 species
AGGUAGAAUUGAGCUACCAUACA